UAGGCACUGUUGGGUGUUCAAAGUGAAGGUCUUAAAGGAAAUAAUACUUUGUCCACAUCACUGGGCAACAUUAGGAAGAGUCAGAGCCACAAAGGGAUGAAGACAACCCUCUUUGUAGCCACGUAGUGGUUCUAUCAGUAACAGCUGGAGUCAAUCUCUCUGUGCAGCAUAUUUUUAAGAGGAGGACUAAGAGGCCCCAGAGACUGGCAGAUGCCUCCAGAAAGAUGAACAUCUAGUCAGAAGAGAAGGCAAAUGAGGAGGGAGGAAGACAUGACAGCACAGAAGGAGGAACACAGGGAGAAACUGGAGAAGAACUAUUUGAAAAUGGAACUCAUGCCAUGCACGUGA
rnacentral:lncRNA from 1 species